GACGAACGCUGGCGGCGUGCUUAACACAUGCAAGUCGAACGGAAAGGCCCUGCUUGCAGGGUACUCGAGUGGCGAACGGGUGAGUAACACGUGGGUGAUCUGCCCUGCACUUCGGGAUAAGUCUGGGAAACUGGGUCUAAUACCGGAUAGGAGCCAUUUUUAGUGUGAUGGUUGGAAAGUUUUUUCGGUGUAGGAUGAGCUCGCGGCCUAUCAGCUUGUUGGUGGGGUAAUGGCCUACCAAGGCGGCGACGGGUAGCCGGCCUGAGAGGGUGGACGGCCACAUUGGGACUGGGAUACGGCCCAGACUACUACGGGGGGAAGCAGCGGGGAAGAUUGCACAAUGGGGGCGAGCCUGAUGCAGCGACGCCGCGGGGGGGAUGACGGCCUUCGGGUUGGAAAAUCCUUUCGCUAGGGACGAAGCUUGUUGUGACGGUACCUAGAUAAGAAGCACCGGCUAACUACGUG
rnacentral:rRNA from 1 species